CCCUUAGAUGUUCUGGGCUGCACGCGCGCUACACUGACGCACGCAACAGGUGCCUGCUCCGAGAGGACUGGGUAAUCAUUUGAGUGUGCGUCGUGAUGGGGAUAGAAUAUUGUAAUUAUUAUUCUUCAACGAGGAAUUCCUAGUAAGCGCCAGUCAGCAGCUUGCGCUGAUUACGUCCCUGCCCUUUGUACACACCGCCCGUCGCUCCUACCGAUGGGUGAUCCGGUGAAUGAUUCGGACUUCAGCGGCUCCCCUGGGGUGCGCCGGAGAAAGUUUUGUGAACCUUAUCACUUGGAGGAAGGAGAAGUCGUAACA
rnacentral:rRNA from 1 species